GAAAUAUAGUUAUUCAUUCUAAUUUAAUGGAAACCACAAUCAGUUGGUAUUACUAAGAAUUGUUAUGUAUGUCUAGUUACUUUAUGUCUAUUCGGCUCUUGAAUUUCAACACAACAUCCAUAAUUUGAAUUACUCAGAAGAGAACUUGAACAAUGGGAUAUUUUUAAGUGCUGUGAACAUUUAUGUUGCCGAUUGUGACAUGAGAUGUCUGAUCUUUUGGUGCAGAAUGUGAUAAUUCUUGAAAGAUAUUUCAUGGAGGUUGUACAUGUUGAUAUCUCAUAAACAAAGUACUACAUCUCUCAGUGGUGUGAAGUAUAUUUCCAAUUGGAUGUUCAGCCAAUCCAGUUGAUUGUAAACUUAUAGGCAAACUGUGUAGUACCAUGUUGCAUUCAGAUCAGUUUUGUGGCAUUCAAUUCCUCUCGCGACAUUAUAAAAUGCAACUUUUGGUUUGUUUGUUGGAAUUUCAACCAAAAAGCGAGUUGGGGUGUUUUAUAGGCCCUCACAUUGGAAGGCAGAGGCCUCACUGUUAACUAAUUUAAGUGGCCAUUGGGAUAAAGGCAUUAUGGGCCACAUUGAGUUUACACUUUUGUUGCCAACCCAGAUUUUGGAGUAUUCCAAAUCACCUUGUUGUUCUAGAAUGACAUUGUAACUUUGGAUGCUGCCAUUAUCAGCUUAUGGCCUUAAAUCCUUGAGUCUUACUGAGUCUUGGCCUGACUUCUGGACAAGGUUUCUUAUUAUGGCAAAAAGCAGUACCUGCCAAAAAAAAACAUUAAUUGCAGGUCAUUUUUUAAAGAGCUCCACAGCUUUUCUUUCUAGUGAACAAAAUGUAAAACUUAGCACUUUCAUAAAAAUAGGGAAUAUUAGAAUAAAACAUAUACUAGAUAUACUCAAAUAUAGAUAUUGUCAGUCCAAGGGAACAUUUAAAGGAAAUAUUAAACUCAGACAACACUGUUUUGACAAACUUGAAGUUUGUUUCUUUGUGACUGCUGUACUAAUUAUAUGUAUUGUAAGCCAGUUGUAUUAUAAUAGUAUAUAUUGUAGUAUACUUUGAUCUGUACAGAAACUCAAGUUCUUUCAUUUUUUGUUAACUUUUUUUCUUGUUUGCUAAUAAAAGAUUGAAGAUACCAUGGCUACAACAUUGCUGUUUGCAUGUGUGAUGACUUUUCAACCAAACAAUAAAGUAAUUUCUUCA
ensembl:lncRNA